GACAGAGGAGCCAAGCGUUGUCCGGAUUGACUGGGCGUAAAGCGCACGCAGGCGGGUGCGCACGUGGGGGGUGAAAUCGGCGCGCUUAACGCGCCAUCGCCAUCCCAUACGGCGCGCCUGGAGCCUUGCAGAGGGCGGUGGAAUUGCCGGUGUAGUGGUGAAAUGCGCAGAUAUCGGGAGGAACACCCGUAGCGAAGGCGGCACUCUGGGCCGGAACUGACGCUGAGGAGCGAAAGCGUGGGGAGCAAACAGG
rnacentral:rRNA from 1 species